GUCACCAGGCACCACAGUCUCACCAAGGGUGCCUAAAAGUUACUUGGCUGGAGAGAGUCAGCAUCAAAAUAUUGUGAUGAUUUCCCAGACAUCCAGGCCACAGACUCAGGAAGCCGCACAGGGAAAGCAAUUGGGAGGUCUGCCUGUGCCCCCCUGAUUGGAGCCACUGUGGAAAACUCAGAGUUUGAUCACAGCUUAAUCCUAAAACCCUCCAGAUGAGUCAUGGGUGAGACCCCAAUUCCACAUCUCCCCACUCUACCCUCACAGGUUGGAAAUCAGGCAGCCCAGAGCCUGGCAGAGGUCUGCACAAUGAGGACAGCACAGGCAGGCAAGCCACAUGCCCUGAUGGAGCCCCCCAGAGCAGACCUCCCUGGACAGCUGCCCCAUCAGUGGGCCCUCCUUCGUGGAUCCCAAAGGGGCCUGCAUUUUUUCCCCACAGGAGGGCAUGGUGGGAAGGAGCACCUCCAUUCCAAGCUGAAGUCCCAGCGGCAGAGCCUGUGCCAACUGCACCUGCAGGUGCUUCCUCAGCUCUGGCACCACAGCCAGAGCCAGAACCAGGAUUCCCUUGUCCUUUAACUGCACUUCUGGGGCUCCUGGUGGCUUCUCAGAGGUUGUCAGCUCCUGAGAUUCCCCUGGGGCCAGCUCCUGCCCCACACCUGCCAUUCCCCUCUAUUACUGCUGCUCAUGUUUUAUUCUUUACUUUUGUG
rnacentral:lncRNA from 1 species